AUUGAACGCUGGCGGCAUGCCUUACACAUGCAAGUCGAACGGUAACGGGCCUUCGGGUGCCGACGAGUGGCGAACGGGUGAGUAAUGCAUCGGAACGUACCUUUCAGUGGGGGAUAACGUAGCGAAAGUUACGCUAAUACCGCAUAUUCUGUGAGCAGGAAAGCAGGGGAUCGCAAGACCUUGCGCUGAUUGGGCGGCCGAUGUCAGAUUAGCUAGUUGGUGAGGUAAAGACUCACCAAGGCGACGAUCUGUAGCGGGUCUGAGAGGAUGAUCCGCCACACUGGAACUGAGACACGGUCCAGACUCCUACGGGAGGCAGCAGUGGGGAAUUUUGGACAAUGGGGGCAACCCUGAUCCAGCCAUGCCGCGUGAGUGAAGAAGGCC
rnacentral:rRNA from 1 species